rnacentral:lncRNA from 1 species
CUGCUGUAUUCAAUACAUUGUUACAAGAAAAGAGGUCUAUUAAGAAACAUUAACUCACAAAUCCAGAGAAACAUCUAUUGCAACAACAUGAAACCGGAAAAUGGUGCUCACUAUUGACAAAACAAUGUUACUACUCUACUAGCCACAAUCUAAGAUGAUAAAAGAAAGAAAUCGAGAACUUCCCCCUUUUCAAUGUCUUCACAAGGUAAUCCUAUGCGGUAAUGUAUUAACUCUGUGGCAUAAUCACAAUCUCACAUCCCCAUUGUCAAAUAUAUACACACAUGCAAGAACAAAGAUUUUGAAACGAAAUCAAUAAAUUUGCAGCUAUUCCUGAAAACACGAAAUGAACCAAGCAAGCAUGUGCUUCCGACACAUAAUCCUCUACAAGAAACUAAAUUCAUCGAAUCAUAACAAAUGUUCCAUUUGAUUGAAUAAACAAUCAUACCAAAAAUCCCGUUCAAACCCUCAACUUACCAUGUUCCCAUUUUUCACUAAAAAUCAAAACUUUUAUUUAAAUCAACAAAAGCCCAAAUACCCAGAUUAGACAAACAACUGACCUUUGCUUACAUUCAAAGACACAAAGAAUUACACGACCACAAACAUAAACCUAAGUAUUAAGUUACUUCUGAAGAUUUUUUUUUUUUAAAAGAGAAUAAUAAUAUAUUUUUUUCGCCCCAAAAAAAACACAGUUAACAUAAGAACCGGAAAAAAAAAAACCAAUUAAGAAAAAAACAGAAAACUUUAGCAGCAUACGAGCGAUGCCGAUCAAUAAAGCUACCAGCUUUUGAACUGAUUUUUAGUUGUAGAAUUACUUAAAAAGCAGAAAAAUAAAAAGAGAGUGAACAUGUAAAUACCUGCAAAACGAAAAAACCGUGCAACAAGUGUGACAAGAUCUGGUGAGCAGAAAACGAUCAAACUUAAAAAUCACAAGAAACCCACUUGCCGUGAUCGCCCCUGUUCUCUAUUAAACGUGAGCAAAGGUGAAGAUUUUAUAGCUAUUUGUAUUUUUCAAGUCAAAGUUGGGCAAACAAUAAUGAGAUCGAGCGAAUUUGGAAAUGU